rnacentral:piRNA from 1 species
UGAGACUAAAGGCAUGUACCCCCGACUCU